rnacentral:sRNA from 1 species
AGAGUGAAUUUUCAGUGAAAAGAAGAUUCAGCGACUUUCUUGGUUUGCACAGCAAAUUAGCAAGCAAAUAUUUACAUGUUGGUUAUAUUGUGCCACCAGCUCCAGAAAAGAGUAUAGUAGGGAUGACCAAGGUCAAAGUGGGUAAAGAAGACUCAUCAUCCACUGAGUUUGUAGAAAAACGGAGAGCAGCUCUUGAAAGGUAAUUCUAGACAGCUAUAUUUUAUUACUCUCAUGUUUGUACCUUAAUAUAAAUGUAAUUCCAUUAUAUGGCAAAACUGUGUUUUAAUGAUUAAAUUUUUUCCAAAGUACCACUUGGUGGCUUUUAAGACUCCUUAAACUUUUUUAAGAAAAUUACUUCUUUCAACAAAGUACUGUAUAAUUGUUCUGUAUAAUUUUUAUUAAUCCUCAUCAAUAGUCUAACAAAAUAACACUUGUUUUUCUAUUAUAUGCUACAAGCAGGAGCAUAUAAUAGAAAACAUAUAAAGACAUGAGUUAGCUGGGGAUAGAAUUGUAUCAUAGGUAGUCACCAAGAGUUACUAAGAAACUGCUAAACU